GGCGAGGGGAACCAAAACUAGCUAACGGCGGAAUCCUUGCAGGGACUAGGUGGCAAGCUGCUCCUUCCCGAAGCAACAAGGCGUUGCGCGAAGCUCUCGAUUCUUUGUCCGUUCGUCUCCGUCAAUAAUCGCUUCCCGCCAAACGGCAAAGACUCCACGCCUCUCUCCUUCAACACCUCGUCUUCCACUCUCGGGCCCAUCAGUCCAUCGCUCGUCAAUCCAUUUGCCUACACACAUUUCACGCCGUCAAUCACUACCCGGUAAAAAAGAAGAGAUUUCUAAACCCUGUUUGGCAACCGAGAAAAAAGGAGGAAAAAAAAAUAUCGCUUCCGUGUUCUUUUAGUUAGGAGUUUUAGCGGGCACAUUUUAGUCUGGUGUUGGCAAUGGAAAACUACAUUGAUUAUUUUUUUUGAACCCAAUUUUCUGAGCAGUCAACCAAGCGAAAUUGAGCAUACCUGGAUUCUAACGUAAUCUGAACGGUUCCAACAAAAGGCAUUCCCCAACAUCUGGUCGACAGUCUCCGAAACUCCAUCAAGCACAAUACUAACAACAGACGAAGUCGAGCACUCUCCGUUACGCCUGUGAUUCCUCCUACUUAAGGAUCCACUCAAUGGGCCACUACCCAAUGAUAGAACCAACAGAUCCUCUACUCCGUUAGCUGACGGGAAAUCUCGCUUAUUAUGGAGCACGUGUGUAACUGCAGCAGCCGUCGGGUUGUUCAUCACUAGGCCACCAUCAAUGGCGCAGCAAGAGGUCUUUCCGUCGACGGACGUCAAGUUAAACGGCUUGAAGAGGCUUGGCGUGGCUAGCGUAGCACGGCAGACUUUCCAGAGAUCGAAGUUGAAACUCGGUGACUCUGACGCAUCUGCUCUGGAGAAAACAAAGGGAGCAGAGCUGUUGAGGUCAAAGCAAGGAAUAAGGAGAGGCUUACACGUGUCCUUCAAGGUCAAUAUCUCCCCGUCAUCUCGCCUGAAAGCUUCCUUUAAAGCCUUGUCUAUGCUCUUACCCGAGAAUAAUUUGCGCCGGUGGAGGAAUCCAACGAGCUUGACCUUGAAGAGCUCGGAGUUUUUGUCAGACAGGAAUGCUACAGCAUCUCUGGCAGUGUAAAGAGGACGGCCAGAGCCGUCAUCAGCGGCCAGCAUGGCAGCAAGGAGAGCACCGAUGCCAGUGCCGGCGAUGAUGUCAAAGAAAUCUGCGAUUCGAGCCUGAGGGUCACCGAUUUUGAGGCGGAUCUGGUCCUCGAGGUGAAUAAGAGAAGCACCGGCGACAAUACCGGUAGUUCCACCGCCGUCAAUGCUGAGCACCCGCGUUUUCUUGGCAUUCUCACAGUGGGAUAACCACUUCUGCUCAAGCUUGGAAAAGAUCUCCAGCGUUACUUUGCUAAGCUCCAUUUGAAUUGCGAAAACUGCAAUGUAGGCGUCGCUCUAAAUGCGUUAAAAGUUAUAUAUCCGUGAAAAGGAGUGAAUGGUCUAUCUCACGCUUUCUUGCUGAAAGGCAUUAAUUGCUGCAGAAUGCCCGCUCUUUUACUCUCUUCAACUAAAGCCCUUACCUCCCAACCUCAUCAAAUCUCUCUUCCCUUCUCUUCUACCUUCACUGUACAGUGGUAGCUAGUGUUUCUGUUACUCUCAGUGUGUGGGGCUAAGAGUUAAAACCGGGAGUGAGGAGGCG
rnacentral:misc_RNA from 1 species